rnacentral:tRNA from 7 species
UUCCGCGAUAGCUCAAUGGUGGAGCACUCGGCUGUUAACCGAUAGGUUGGAGGUUCGAGUCCUCUUCGCGGAGCCAU